rnacentral:rRNA from 1 species
UACGUAGGGUGCAAGCGUUGUCCGGAAUUAUUGGGCGUAAAAGAGCUCGUAGGCGGUUUGUCGCGUCUGCUGUGGAAAACCGGAGGCUCAACCUCCGGCCUGCAGUGGGUACGGGCAGACUAGAGUGCGGUAGGGGAGAUUGGAAUUCCUGGUGUAGCGGUGGAAUGCGCAGAUAUCAGGAGGAACACCGGAUGGCGAAGGCCAGAUCUUCUGG